UGCAGCAACGCCGCGUGAGGGAUGACGGCCUUCGGGUUGUAAACCUCUUUUGGCAGGGAAGAAGCGAAAGUGACGGUACCUGCAGAAAAAGCACCGGCUAACUACGUGCCAGCAGCCGCGGUAAUACGUAGGGUGCAAGCGUUGUCCGGAAUUAUUGGGCGUAAAGAGCUCGUAGGCGGUUUGUCGCGUCUGCUGUGAAAACGCGAGGCUCAACCUCGCGCCUGCAGUGGGUACGGGCAGACUAAAGUGUGGUAGGGGAGAUUGGAAUUCCUGGUGUAGCGGUGGAAUGCGCAUAUGAAGAGAGGAACACCGAUGGCGAAGGCAGAUCUCUGGGCCAUUACUUACGCUGAGGAGCGAAAGCGUGGGGAGCGAACAGGAUUAGAUACCCUGGUACUCCACGCCGUAUACGUUGGGAACUAGAUGUGGGGUCCAUUCCACGGAUUCCGUGUCGCAGCUAACGCAUUAAGUUCCCCGCCUGGGGAGUACGGCCGCAAGGCUAAAACUCAAAGGAAUUGACGUGGGGCCCGCACAAGCGGCGGAGCAUGCGGAUUAAUUCGAUGCAACGCGCAAGAACCUUACCAAGGCUUGACAUAUAACCUGCAAAAGCUGGAAACAGUCUCCUCGCA
rnacentral:rRNA from 1 species